rnacentral:rRNA from 1 species
CUUUCCUGCAACCUGGAAUUGAGUUUGGGUUUUUUUUGUGCAGUAUAGGUGGGAGAUUAUAAUUUUAUUUAUAGUCGUCAGUGAGAUACCACCCUUAAAAAGCUAGAAUUCUAAGAGCGUUCCUUGAAACAGGACGCUUAACAGUUCUUGGUGGGCAGUUUGACUGGGGCGGUCAUCUCUUAAAGGGUAACAGAGAUGUGCAAAGGUUCCUUCAGGCUGGAUGGAAAUCAGUUGUAGAGUGUAAAGGCAUAAGGGAGCUUGACUGUAAGACUUACAAGUCAAACAGAGGCGAAAGCCGGCAUUAGUGAUCCGACGGUACCGCGUGGAAGGGCCGUCGCUAAACGGAUAAAAGUUA